AUGGAUUUUCUUAUUUCCCUAAUCUCUUCCCAAUCUCAUUAUCUUAGAUAGAAAAGGGAGAAUGGAAGGGAACUAAUAAAGGAUUUUGUUUUUAAUCUUUUGUUUUCAGAAUUGGGGAGAACCGGAGAAGAGAGCGUGAAAGUGGAGAUGUUGAGCGUUGCAGAAGAUAGGAAGGUAGCGCGGGGAAACGAGAAAAGUUUCUCAGCUUAAUGGCAAUAAACACAUAAAUCUUGUCAGCUGUGUUAUUGAGAAACCGGAAAUAGGCAUGUCUCCAAGAUUUGGACAGCAGCAGGCUUCCCCAAAAUGCCCAGAAUCCUGGAAUGAAACCAGCCCCCAUGCUAGUGAAGAAUGCGACUGUUUCAUCUAGCCAAUCACUUCCAUGAUGUUGGAUUUGGAGAUCAUUAUUAUUGAUACAAUAAGGAUCUUUGGGUAAAGGUGUGGAGCAUUCUGUUGUAAGAGGUGGGCCGCACAAGUAUCUAUUUCCCGUGUAAGAAGAACUGUCAAAUGUGCCAAAUUGCCCCCUUCUAGGAAUUUCUCCAGUCAAAUGGUUGUAGGAGAGGUUAAGAACUUCUAGGGAGUAUAAAUGAUCUGGCAUGUUUGGUGGAAUAGAGCAAGAAAGGUUAUUCCUGGACAAAUCAAGAUAUUCCAAAUUAACUAAGUGAACGAUGCCAGGAGGAAUAGGUCCUGUUAGAUUAUUUUUUGACAAAUCCAAUGCAACCAACCGAACAAGACUGGCAAGUUCCGCUGGAAUCUCACCUGAAAGAAAGUUGUCUGAUAGAUCAAUCACUCCAACUGGGUAGCGUGCUGACAUUGGCAAGCUCAAUGAAAUAUUAUAAUUUUUAAAUAUAAAGGAAACAUGUACAAGAGAAACUGUCAUUAAGAUGGUCUCCAGAGCAUCCUUCUCAUAUGCUGUAAAUGGAUCAUAAAUGUAGGAAGGGGCGUCUUCAACCCCAGCCAUGAUGAGAAAAUUAUUGACACACUUCGGAAUUGUUCCUGUCAAUGAAUUGUUUUGAAGGUCCAAAGCCAUUAGGUACUCAAGUCUGCAAAGUUGAGGAGGGAUGGUUCCACUAAAUUGGUUCCCCAAUAAACUAAGAAGCAUUAGGUCUUUGUAACUUUCCCCAAUCCAUAUUGGUAUAUUUCCAGUUAGCUUAUUUGAACCAACAUCCAAAACAGUCAACUUUCUCAAGUUCUGAAACGAUGAAGGCAGCUCUCCCAUGAAAUUGUUGUUAGCCAGUACUAACAUCUUGAGAUUUUCCAGAUAUCCAAGUGAAUGAGGAAUUUUUCCAAAGAGGAAAUUCUUACCCAAAUUCAAGUAUAUCAGCUCUAUCCCAUUUACCCAGCAGUCAGGGAGUGGUCUUGAUAGAUUAUUCGAAUAUAAAUCUAAGAAACAUAGAGAAUUAUUCUCAACAAGCGAUUUGCAUACAGGGUAAACAGUACCACUGAAAGAAUUCCAUUUUAGAAUAAAAAAUUUCAUCCUUGGGGAAAAAUGUGGCAGAGGUCCUCGGAAAUGGUUCCUACUCAAGUCUAAUACUGAGAGAUUAAAUCUUGACAAAUCUGGCACUUGACCUCUAAGUUGGUUCCAAGAAAGAUUCAUAUGCUCCAUUGCAGGAGAAAGGUCCCAAAACCAGUCAGGUACCUUGUCUGAAAUGCCAGCAUCAGAGAUAUCAAUGUAGGAGAAAGUUUUCUGUGUCCUAAGCCAACUCGGGAAGCGUUGAUCUAGUUUACAAGAUCGUAGGGCUAUAACAUCAAGUUGGAAAGAGGGAAUCCAACUUUGGCUCAUCUCCAGGACAAUUGAGUUAUAAGAUAAAUCCAAUACCCUCAAAUCACUGAAGUUGAGUGACUCUUCAGUAAUUGUGUCAUUCAAGGAAUUAUUAGCAACAUCCAGAACUACUAGUUUCUUAAGGUGCAUGAUGCUUUUGGCUAAAGGACCAUUUAGGUGGUUACCAGAGAAGCGCACUUCUUUCAAAAGUGAUGGCAAUGCAGGCGGUAACUCACCUGUGAGAUUGUUUUCUGAGAGAUCAAGUACUGUGAGUGAGGUCAUGGUCUGGAAUGUCUCUGGAAUUGAACCUUGGAUCUCACUUUUUUUGAGGUUUAGACUAGCAAGACUGCUGAUGUUGAAUAACCAACUUGGUAUUGAAGACCCAAAUUGGUUAUGUGAGAUAUCAAGAAUUUGCAGAGAUGUUAAGUUCAGAAACGGCAGUGUAGGGGGGAUAUGAAGAGAGUAAAGAUAGCA